UCUCAGUCUGUUCUAUGUUGGAAUGUUUCCUGCCUCACAUGUUAGAAUGAAAUUCUCUUAUGACAGAAAUGGAAGAAGUCUCUAUUCCCUGAUUCUCCUUGCUUGGUUCAGUCCUUGAUUGUUCAAGGGUUGCUAUACCAUUUCUUAUUGCUAUGACUUUGCUAUGGAGCAGGCUGAGAUGACAUGUCCCUGUUUCACCUCAGCUGGAAUGGAAAAUGAACUGCGUGAGAUGCUGCCACAGAUAAUCAUGUUCAUCAAGAAUCAGAUGCUGCCAGACCUGCUGAGCUUUUCCAGCAACAUCUGUUUUUGACACCAUCACAUUUCCUGACUGACAUCCUGCUGGAUGAUUCAUGCCUAGUACCCACUUUGAUCCUGCAAGCCUGUUCUGGAGAGUUACUCAUUGCUGAAGUUAUUUCUACAACUGGAAUGAAUAUAUUCUACCAACCUAAGAAAUCCUUGGCUCCAAACUGAUCUUUGUGUGAUCUCUUUCUGUGACAGGUUGAAUCAAUGUCAGCCGGGGAUAUUUUGUUGUAAUAAUGGCCUCCUCCAUAUGUUAACUAGAUUACACGAUGGUGGUGAUCUUGUGUCACUGUUGUGAUAUCCUAAAUUCUAAUCCUUCUUAAUAGUACCAAUCCUGAUGUAUGCAGCACCGUGAUUGUAACGUAACUAGAAUAAUAUAGAUACCGCUUGAAACACUG